GAUGAACGCUGGCGGCGUGCCUAAUACAUGCAAGUAGAACGCUGAAGGAAGGAGCUUGCUCUUUCCGGAUGAGUUGCGAACGGGUGAGUAACGCGUAGGUAACCUGCCUGGUAGCGGGGGAUAACUAUUGGAAACGAUAGCUAAUACCGCAUAACAGUAGAUGUUGCAUGAUAUCUACUUAAAAGGUGCAAUUGCACCACUACCAGAUGGACCUGCGUUGUAUUAGCUAGUUGGUGAGGUAACGGCUCACCAAGGCGACGAUACAUAGCCGACCUGAGAGGGUGAUCGGCCAAACUGGGACUGAGACACGGCCCAGACUCCUACGGGAGGGAGCAGUAGGGAAUCUUCGGCAAUGGACGGAAGUCUUACCGAGCAACGCCGCGUGAGGGAAGAAGGGUUUCGGAUCGUAAAGCUCUGUUGUAAGAGAAGAACGAGUGUGAGAGUGGAAAGUUCACACUGUGACGGUAUCUUAACAGAAAGGGACGGCUAACUACGUG
rnacentral:rRNA from 1 species